UACGUAGGGGGCGAGCGUUGUCCGGAAUCAUUGGGCGUAAAGGGUGCGUAGGCGGACGCUUAAGUCAGAUGUGAAAGGCGCCGGCUUAACCGGCGAGUGGCAUUUGAAACUGGGUGUCUUGAGUGCAGGAGAGGGAAGCGGAAUUCCUAGUGUAGCGGUGAAAUGCGUAGAUAUUAGGAGGAACACCAGUGGCGAAGGCGGCUUCCUGGACUGUAACUGACGCUGAGGCACGAAAGCUGGGGGAG
rnacentral:rRNA from 1 species